rnacentral:piRNA from 1 species
UGAACAGGUAAAUUAGAACUAAUUGUGUU